rnacentral:rRNA from 1 species
UACGUAGGGUGCGAGCGUUAAUCGGAAUUACUGGGCGUAAAGCGUGCGCAGGCGGUUCGCCAAGUCAGAUGUGAAAUCCCCGGGCUUAACCUGGGAACUGCGUUUGAAACUGGGAGGCUUGAGUGUGGAAGAGGGGGGUGGAAUUCCAGGUGUAGCAGUGAAAUGCGUAGAGAUCUGGAGGAACACCGAUGGCGAAGGCAGCCCCCUGGGCUUACACUGACGCUCAUGCACGAAAGCGUGGGGAGCAAACAGG